GGGAAUGUGGCUCAGAGGUAGAGUACUUGCUUAGCAUGCAUGAAGCCCUGGGUUCGAUUCCUCAGUACCA
rnacentral:tRNA from 1 species